rnacentral:lncRNA from 1 species
GGCAAAACAGGACUCGAAUCUCAUCUUGGACUUCAGGUCCAGGACUCUUACUACCCUUUGUGGCCCCCUCUGGAUGGGCUGGGAAGAGCCAGAAAGGCAGGAGCGGAGAAGCGGUGUCCCUUUGUCUCCUUCAGAUGAGGACCACGGAAACACUCACCCUGGGCUUCAGACGGGGAAGCUGAGGCUCAGAGAGGAUUCAGAAAAUGCAGACCAUAUCCACCCCCAACACUACCUGCCCAGCCGGGAAGCACAGGGGUCAUUCUCUUGGAGGGUGAGAGAGGGCAACUCCACUCUGGGUAAGAAAGUCAUCACAAGAAGGUGCGUCUGGGUGGAAUUACAGGUGAGUUUGAUUUACAACAUAGGGCUUUUCUGCAUUUCUCAGAUUCUCUUUGAGCCUGAAUUCAGUUUGUAAUCAGAUAUCCCCCAAUAAUACUAAGUGUAUUUUUGUUACCUGCUUUAGGCAUUAUCUAAAUCAACUCUGACAACCACUCUGGUAGGGAGUUGUUACCAUUGCUAUUCCUGUUUUAAAGAGGAAGAAAGAGGAGUCUAGACAUUUGCCCAAGGUCAUACAGCAAGUGGCACAGCUGUGACUCUAACCACAUUAAAUGCAAUUGAAUCAAUCAAAAGUUAAUAUCAGGGAUGGUCCGGGUCUAUGGGAGAAUGCUGAUUUGCUUGCUCCUCUGUGACUUGCCCAAUGGCACUCUGGAUGUUGUGUGGACAAACAGCCUGGGCCCCACAGAAAGCUGCUGAGCGGCCCCUGGAGACAGGAGAAGCCUGGCAUGAUCCCCCACCCCUUGCCAGGACCUGGACACCUCUCGCUGCUCAAGACAAUGGGAACACU